ensembl:lncRNA
GGCACACUGUCAACUGGGCUGGACUUCCUGAGUUUCAGUUUCCUGAGUCUCAGAGGCUGAGAUACUGAAGAAUUUUCCCCUCACAUUUUGUGCCUGCUUAGCUACCUAGACAGAGCAGCUAUCCAUGGCUCCAAUCCUUGAAUGGAUUCUUCCAAGAGGCUUCAUUGAGAAAUCCUGGGCCAGUGUCUCUCUAAGGACCUUGAGAUCUGCCUGUAUACAGGAGACAGAUCUUGAAGGCUGUGUAGAGGAGACUGAGCCUUCAACUGACCAAUCUGAGUUACAACUAGCCCUUGGGAACAAAUUGAGUUCCUACAGGCAGUCCAUAGAACACUUGGAAUUUGCUUUUUCUGACAUUUUUGUAGUCAGCAAUUAUGUCUCAGAGCGGGCACCGGAUCCUGAAAAAGACAUUCUGACUCUCUCUGCUGCGAGACAGACACUGUGGGCUGCAGAUGACUUUGAAGAGGGCUCCGCCACUCAAUACCAGCCUGAAGAAUAAUUGAAUUAUCAAGUGUGCAAAAGAAGAAAAUAAAUAUGUGAACUCUCAACAUAUUAAUUUUUGUCUCACCAUAGAACAAUGAAACAGAGAAAGGAGAAAACACUGGAAGAGAAUUGGCUAAGAUUACAGGGAUAUAUUUUAUUUAUGUCAAGGAUGAAGAUGCAUAUACAAAAGCACACUAUUUCUAACACCCAGGAACAACAUGAUUUGCAUAGAUCCUUACAUGAAAUUUCAGGAAGAAAUGGACCUCAUUUAUUGGACUACUGCAAAGAUGAAUUGGCCACAGAAGACAGUAAAUCUCAUUUUGGAAAAGUUAUCCUUACUAUUGAAGGCUUCUAUCAAUAUCUAUAAAACAAGAAAGUAAUUUUGAAUAAAGAAGGAAUAAAAUAGUGGAAAAAUAAUAUAAAAACACUUGUAUAUUCAUGUUAAAAAUACUCUGCAGAGAGAAUUCCAACUCCUUACAUAUUGAUGUAGAUCUCGGUGGUCUUCAGUGUUUUAGUGUUUCUGUUUCUGUGUAUCAAGUAUUCUUGAAAUUGCUUUAAUAAGAAUUAUAUUACCCCAGGGAUAGGUAGAAAUUAUAUAUUGACAAGUUCAGCAUGGGAAAUGUUCCUUCCACUAAUUUUAGAAUCUAUAGAGGAAUUACCCAUUGGUCAAUUUUCUUAGAGAAGGAUACAGAAUUCAAAAUAAGCGAGAAUUUUCUCAGGAGACUUGAAGCAGACCAGUUACAUGUUGUUGGUAAUGAGGAAACAGAAUUGCUGAGAUGUAAUAAGCUCAGAGUUUGAGGGUGAUGGGGACAGAGGAGGCACAUGACUAGCUGUGUGUUAAAGAUAAAGGCCUUCUGGAGAAGAUGGCUUCCUUGUCUAAGGUUAUCCACAGAUACUCAGUCUUAUCUGUCAUGACUAUACACAUCCUGAAUGUGACAAAAAUAAACAAAGCAAACAAACAAAGCAGUCACUAAGCAAGUUCUCAUUGACUGAGCAUCAUGUUCUGUGCUCUAAUGCAAUCUUGCUCCAUGCCUCAACACAGCAAACUCAGCAUCUUCUUAUGAGCUUAUCAAGGUUCAAGCAAUCACUAUUGCACAACACCAGAAAAAACUGGAACACUGUUGUAUGCUUUAUAGCCUGAGGUUAUUUCAUAAUGUUAAUGGGUAAGUCUAUAACUUUUUUGUGGGCCAACUAACUGUUGUAUCAAGCUUUUUGUCUUUUACUGGUUUAGGUAGUAGUCCAUCCGGAAUUGACUUUUGUUUAUAGUGUGAAGAAGGAAUUCAGGAAAGAUGUGAGGUAUUUAGAUAUCAUUUUCAUUUGACUAAUUUUGAAGAGUAAUAAACAUUCUAGGAUAGGAUUAUACUGUAGUUCAAUUUUCAUAUAUGAUUUAAAAAUAAGAAGCAACAUCACGAAGAAGUUAUUUUUAUCCUAAAAUUUACAUAGUAGUGUAAAGGAUUAAAGCUAACCAAGACAUUCUUGAAGAACAAUAAAGUAGAAAAAUAGACAUGUAUCAGAGACCCCUGCAGCAGAUCCCAUCUUCUGCUUGGUGUUACAAUGCAUGAUGAGAAGACUUAGAGACAGAAUUAGAGAAACAGAGACAGGGAACUGGGAUGAUCAGCUCUUGUGCAAGCAAAGGCUUGAGAAAGCCAUAGCCCUGGCCAGCCAAAACAAUCAAUAUUUAUUGGUGACACAAUCAUUGGUUAAAUUGGGGUGAGGGGACUAUGUGUGGUUGCUAUAGAUGUGUUGCUGAGGCAGGCAAGGCUUGUAAAAGAAGAGACAAAGCAUUCUUGUGUUAGUUUGGGAAUGGUAUUUGGGUAAGAGUCACUUUGACCUCACUGUGUGUUAUCUCAUAGGCUUUGGUCAGACUUACUUCUUCAACUAAGCCAAUUGUGGGGUUAAUUCUUUACAGCCUGCAUUGUUUGCAGCAUUCUUUGUGCAGAAUCAAUGGGGCGGUUUGCCACAGGUGUGGAAAGAUAUAUGAAUGAAGAGAAUGUUAAUUGGUUUGUACUAAUAAAUCAGUGGAAAUGAACAGACUCAGGCACAUUUGGACAUUUGCUAUAUGAUAAGGAUAGUGUUGCAGAUGAGUAGAAAACAGUAAACUAUUCAUAGGUGGUGCUAAGUCUAUUGAUCACUCUCAUGGAAAAAUGAACUGAAUCCCUUCCUCACACCAUAAAUGAAACUGAAAGUGUAAAUGAGAAUCAGAGUGUAUAAUAGAUAAUAUGAAAUAGGAAGAAAAGGUCCAAAGGGGAAAGGAAGAGGGAGGGGUAGAGGAAAAGAAAGAUAGGAAAGGAAUAAAUAUGAGAAAAGGAAAAACCAGAAACAAAUUCUUUGUAAAUAGAAAGGGAUGGAAUGGUUGAAGGGAGGGCAGGGGAAUGGGGAAAAAAUAAGAAGCAAGAUAUAUCAUGUAAAUGUACAAAUUCCCAGUGAUGAAUGUCAUCACAUUGUACACCUAAAAUGUAUCAAUAAAAUUAAUGAAUAAAAAAGUGAAUUUCAGGUGGACUACUAUCUAAAUGCUAUAAGGUUUUUAGGAGAUAAAAUAGAAUGACACCUUUAUAACUUGGGGAAAAGAAAAUUUUAUUACAUCAUUUUUUAAAGUAAGACACAAAAACUUAACUAUGAAAGACUAAAAACAACUACAUAGAUUCCUAAAAGUCCCGAAGAAAAUUAAGUUAGAAAAAGGGACAAAAAUUUUGAACAAUCACUUUGUAAAAGAGAAAAUUCAAAUCUGCAUUAAUGGAUAAAAGAUACUUUAUUCAUUAGUAAUAAAAUAAACAAAUUAAAGCAGUUUUGUUUUUUACAUUUUUGUGAUUUGAUUUAAUUAACAUACCAUAAGCUGCAUGUACUCAAAGUAUCAGAUUUGAUGGCUUUUGAUGUAUGACUACUGUGAAAGUAUCGUGCCAGUUAAGGAUACAAACAUUUCUGUCUUCCCUCAAAUGCUAAUGGUGCUCUUGUAAUCCAUUCUUUCCAUUUCUCUUGCUCUUUCAGUCCUUAAGCAACAACUUACAAGUUGUGUGUUGUCACUCUAAGUUGUUGGGUUUUAAAAAAUUUUAAAUGUAAGUGGG